CUACGGGGGGCAGCAGUGGGGAAUAUUGCACAAUGGACGAAAGUCUGAUGCAGCAACGCCGCGUGGAGGAUGACACAUUUCGGUGCGUAAACUCCUUUUAUAUAGGAAGAUAAUGACGGUACUAUAUGAAUAAGCACCGGCUAACUCCGUGCCAGCAGCCGCGGUAACACGGAGGGUGCAAGCGUUACUCGGAAUCACUGGGCGUAAAGAGCGUGUAGGCGGGUUAAUAAGUUGGAAGUGAAAUCCUAUGGCUCAACCAUAGAACUGCUUCCAAAACUGUUAACCUAGAAUAUGGGAGAGGUAGAUGGAAUUUCUGGUGUAGGGGUAAAAUCCGUAGAGAUCAGAAGGAAUACCGAUUGCGAAGGCGAUCUACUGGAACAUUAUUGACGCUGAGACGCGAAAGCGUGGGGAGCAAACAGGAUUAGAUACCCGAGUAGUC
rnacentral:rRNA from 1 species